rnacentral:tRNA from 1 species
GAGGGUAUAGCUCAGGUGGUAGAGCACAUGCUUAGCAUGUGUGAGGUCCUGGGUUCAAUCCCCAGUACCUCCA